rnacentral:lncRNA from 1 species
GCUCCUUGUUUUGUCAUUUCAAGUGAAUUCCAUUUUUUUACCCCUUCUUUCAAUUUUUUUUACACAAUCUACCCCAUUUAAGGGUUCCAAAAUUAUACCUCAUUUAACUAAACAUUUGCCACUAAUUACCCGUUUUGGCAGAUUUCCCCAAAUCCCACGUUUUAUGACAGGUUCUGGUUCCGGUUUGACCUCGAAGGCCAGCGUGGCACGCCGCAUAGGCCUGAAAAGUGGGCCCCGCCUGCCAUAAAACGUGGCAUUUAGGAAAAUCAGCGAAAAGGGGAAUUAGUGGUAAAGGAAUGGUUAAGGUACAAUUUUGAAAAUUCACUUGAACGGGGUAGAUUGUGUCAAAAAAAAAAUCAAAGAGGGGGUAA